rnacentral:lncRNA from 1 species
AAUGGAGCCAUCCCUGGGCUGGUGGUCCUGAGUUUUAUAAGAAAGCAGGCUGAGCAAACCAGGGGAAGCAAGGCAGUAAACAGCACCCCUCCAUGGUCUCUGCAUCAGCUCCUGCCUCCAGGUUCCACUCCUCCUUGAGUGCCUGUCUUGACUUCCUCCAACAAUGGACUAUGAUCUGGAAAUGUGGACUGAGCUAUUGCUUUCACGGGACAUUGCACAGCUCUCUGGGGACAAGUGUCCUGCCCAACCCCUUCUUAGAGGUCCCAGCAUAAAUGUUCUGCUCCAGUUAUAGGGAGGAAGCAGUAGCCAACAUGUCAACAGGUCUGGAAAAGCAGAGAGACAAAUAAAGGAAGACCUGAAGUCUGGAGAUGGGGAGUGAGAGUUAUGAAAUUUUCAAGCUCAUUUUUAUCAUCUACAAACCUUCCCAUAAACUCUGUCCCAGGUGGCUGGGCAAACACUUGAGCCUUGAAAUGAAAUCUUGGAGUUAUUCCGUCACUCACACAGACUAAAUCCAUCCUGAAUUGUGUAAUAAACUUUAGCCUUUGGCAUUUUAUGAUUUCAA